ensembl:lncRNA
GGAGAAUCCCGGGGACGGGGGAGCCUGGUGGGCUGCCGUCUAUGGGGUCGCACAGAGUCGGACACGACUGAAGCGACUUAGCAGCAGCAGCAAGGCAAGAUGAAUGAUAUCACCUUCCAAGGUAAAUAUACAAGUGGAGAUGCUGACAAAUCCCAACACCUAAAUGAUAAACAAGCUGCGCUGCAGAUGCAGGAGCUUUCCUGUCACCAGAGAGGGAGCAAGAGGGGAGACAGCCUUAGGUCUGGCUCGCUCCAUGAUGCAGCUUCUAAAACUCCGAUGAGAGGCUAAAAAUGCUGUGAAGACUUCCUGUUUGGCGAGAAUGGAACAGUUGUCAAUGAGAUUGAUGUAUUAGAUUCUACUUAAUAUACCUACGGGGACUCAGAUCAACAGUAGCAAUUCUCAGUUUUCGGUCAUGUUGAAAGGGGCUUUUUAAAAUUGUUAUUAUUUUGUGGAGAUAUAACUGAUACAUAGCACUGUGUGAGUUUAAGUCACACAAGUUUUCAUACAUUCAUAUGUUGCCACAUAAUCACUAGCACAGCCUUAGCUAACACCCCCAUCG